ensembl:lncRNA
GAUCUCUCUCUGGAGAUCACUCCACUUGGAGCCCUUUCGGUGAGCCUGGGACACAGGCUAAGCAAAUCAAGUUCUCUCAGCCUGUCCCCAUGGAAGUACACCACUAACCAAAUGGUUGGUUUAUAUUUAAUAACCCUUCCCUGGGCUCUCUGCAGUUUGUCACUACCUUUCUUGGCUGUGAAGACCACGACGGAACUCAUUCAGAUACAGCAUCACAGCAUUUGACUGAAGGGGAGCAAUUAUUUCACUUGAUCUGCUGUCUGCACUGAACUAAUGCAAGUCAGUAUACUGCAGGUCUUUCUCACCAGAAGAGUUCUCUACAGUUCACAUUAAAUUUGCCAUCCACCAGGAUCCCAGGGUAAUUUCUGUGUGGAGGUGCUACCUGUUUGAAUAAUACCAAUGAAAAACAACUCUGAAUCAGUAGUGAUACCAGCAUAAGAACAAUGAAAAGGCAGACUCAGGGCUACAUUACAAACCUAGUUCUCCAUUCAGUUCAAUCCCACAUUAACUCCACUGACCUGUGUAGUGUUUCCUUCUUUUGUCACCUUCAGACAAAUAAAAGUGGCUACAUCUUGUGUAUAGAAAGGAAAAAAAAAGUGAAAUGAAAUAAAAUAAAAAAGUUCCUAGUGAAUAUUCAUCAUCAUUUUUGCUUUAAACAACAUAUUGUGUUCAAAGGUUGUAACAGUUCUCUAAUAAAGUAAUAAACUUCUGAUAUUUAGUUCAUUAACUGCUGUGAAGGAAAAAUAUUCAUGAUACUAAUUAUGAUUUAUAGCACAGCUGUGGGCAGACCAGACAUUCCCACAGAAAGAGAGAUGAGUAAUGACACCAAAUUGUGCUGAAACUAGUAGCAUCCUCCUUCUGCUCUAAGACUGUUCAAAGGAGUUUUGCUUUUGCUGCCACUUCGAUUAUCUUUUGUCAUGAUCUGGGAAGUCAUGCACAGCCAAGGUCUUCUCUCUUUAUAGAGAGCCCUGGUCAUGGAUUUUGCUGUUGAUCAUCACUUGGUCUCUCCCUUGUCUCCUUUAAACUGUAGUAUUGAUUAUUUUGAACAGAAUACACAAAGAUGCCCUGAAUCUCUGGGCUGGAGACUGUCUCAAACCUUAACUGUAGAUGGAUUCUCAAAGAAUAAAUUUUAGAGGACUUUGUCUUUCACCUCAUGGCAUGAAGACAUCCUGGCUCCUUGAUACAGGCACAUGAGGAAAAUGAAAAUUCAUAAUCUUGGGAGAACUCUACAAAAUUUGAUGGUAGAAGUUAAAAAUGUCACAGACAACAAGAAAUCCUGGUUUUACCCUCAAAUAAAGAGAGAGAAAAAAUUUACAUCCUGAAGUUUUGUUUCACAUAGCAACACUAAACAUAUUCAGACUCUGUAUUCAUAGAAGACACUAAUUCUCUUAACAACAGGACAUAGUUUCUGUUUCCCAAUUUUAGAUAUUGUAACUUUAUUCAUUAUUAUUUCAUCUUUGCUACCAUUUUCCCAAUGGAUUUUCCAAAUAAUGGACCCUGUAUAAUUUCUCAGACAUUUUUACCAAUAUAAGGAGGCCGUGACAAAGCAAGCUAAUGUGUUACUUCUUUUUAGAAGAAAAUGUAGGAUAUUUUCUUUCGUUAUUGAUCAGCUCUAUAAAAAGAUGGCACCCAUUGUUAGAAAAGCCGUUGAUAACAGUAUGAUUAGAAGCUGUACGAUUAGAAGCCAAGUCUUCAGAAAGUUGCUGUGUAUGUUUCCCCUUAAUCAAGUCUUGCUACUUUACAGAAUUCUAUGCAAUAUAUACAAACCUAUUGUAUGACACACGUAAAAUUUGGAAUCAUGCAUUCUAUUCCUUCUACUUGAACUCAGUUCCAGAUUUAUUUAUUUAUUUUAUAUAAAGAUAAUUUUUCCAGAAUCUUAAAACAGGAAUGUCAUGGUUUUAUGAUUUCUGGUUAUCAGUAUUGCACAUCACAAUAUCAUGCAUUGUACUGGGAGUUAAAGAGCAAAUGCUUUAGUUUCAUGUACCUGUCUGGAAGAGAAGAAGAACUGCGUUCCCCAAGAGUCUUUUCGACUACUGUUAUCAUUCCUGCUCAAGGGAAUAGAUAUAAGGGUGCAGGUCAUCUGACUCAGCCUUCUUCUCGUCUUGCCAUGUUCCCUACCGGAUCAGCUCGCUACUGUUGCUUCCGACUGCGCACAAGGCUUCAGUAUUAGUGUAAGUCCUUUGGCUCUUGGACAAUCUUUCUCUCAAUUAUUGUUGAUUUACAUUGUAUUAUAGUGUGUUAUCUUACAUUCCGAUACUAUAUUUAGUAAAUUAGUUUGUUUCUCUUC